rnacentral:rRNA from 1 species
AGCUAACGUUGGCGGCGUGCCUAACACAUGCAAGUCGAACGCGUUCCGGGGGGCAACCCCUGGGAUGAGUGGCGAACGGGUGAGUAACACGUGGGUAAUCUUCCUUCAAGUGGGGAAUAAGCUCUCGAAAGGGAGUCUAAUACCGCAUGAUUCUCCGGGACAUAAGUUUCGGGGUUAAAGCCGCAAGGCGCUUGGAGAUGAGCCUGCGUCCUAUUAGCUAGUUGGUAGGGUAAUGGCCUAACCAAGGCUGAGAUGGGUAGCCGGCCUGAGAGGGUGAACGGCCACACUGGGACUGAGACACGGCCCAGACUCCUACGGGUGGCAG